rnacentral:rRNA from 1 species
CCUACGGGCGGCAGCAGUGAGGAAUAUUUGUCAAUGGACGAGAGUCUGAACCAGCCAAGUAGCGUGAAGGAUGACUGCCCUAUGGGUUGUAAACUUCUUUUAUAUGGGAAUAAAAUGUUCCACGUGUGGGAUUUUGUAUGUACCAUAUGAAUAAGGAUCGGCUAACUCCGUGCCAGCAGCCGCGGUAAUACGGAGGAUCCGAGCGUUAUCCGGAUUUAUUGGGUUUAAAGGGAGCGUAGGUGGAUUGUUAAGUCAGUUGUGAAAGUUUGCGGCUCAACCGUAAAAUUGCAGUUGAAACUGGCAGUCUUGAGUACAGUAGAGGUGGGCGGAAUUCGUGGUGUAGCGGUGAAAUGCUUAGAUAUAACGAAGAACUCCGAUUGCGAAGGCAGUUCACUGGACUGCAACUGACACUGAGGCUCGAAAGUGUGGGUAUCAAACAGGAUUAGAUACCCGGGUAGUC